rnacentral:piRNA from 1 species
UGCUGCUGAAAGGAAGGACUAUG